rnacentral:rRNA from 1 species
CAGUCGCCGCGGUAAUACGUAGGGCGCAAGCGUUGUCCGGAAUUAUUGGGCGUAAAGAGCUCGUAGGCGGUCUGUCGCGUCUGGUGUGAAAUCCCGAGGCUCAACCUCGGGCUUGCAUCGGGUACGGGCAGACUAGAGUGCGGUAGGGGAGACUGGAAUUCCUGGUGUAGCGGUGGAAUGCGCAGAUAUCAGGAGGAACACCGAUGGCGAAGGCAGGUCUCUGGGCCGCAACUGACGCUGAGGAGCGAAAGCAUGGGGAGCGAACAGGAUUAGAGACCCCAGUAGUCCCUGUCUCUUAUAC